rnacentral:misc_RNA from 1 species
UGGCCCUAUAGAAGAGGUUGCAUCUGCCACAACGGAUUUCUGCAAAGCAGGUUGGGGAUUUACAUAUUGAGUAUGUUGAUGAGAUGUUGUGGACUGUGCAUAUGCUGGAGAAGAAUGGAUUGCUGGCUUAGUUGGCUGCAAUGCUGAUUUAGCAGCUGAAUUCGCAGACACAGCAAAUGGCUCCAAUGACUGAGCUUUCUUAAAUCGGUCAAGCCCUGCUCUACCAUACAUUUUGUCUGUAUCUUCAGCUCAAACUAUAAGCUCUUCCUCAGUUUUAUAAUAUUUCUGGCAUGGAUCCUUCUUACCACUACAUUAUCUCAGAAUUCCACGAACUCAGUUACCAUAUUAAAUAACACUCUUUGACACAAAAGUAAACAGAAGCAGCCAAAAACAAAAAUAGAGAAUGCCCCUUUUGUUGUAUGAGAUUUAGGGUUAAAUUUAACAGUUAAAGUUGAAGCUAGUAGCCGAUCGAAGGAAGCAAAGAUGGUGAAUUUGGGGAUUUUGAAGUUCAAUUCUUGAGUUUGGAAGAAACAACGGAGGCGAGAGAUAAAA